CGAGCAACUUGGUUAAGCUACUAAGAGCACACGGAGGAUGCCUAGGCGCUAGGAGCCGAAGAAGGACGUGGCGAACAACGAAACUGCCUCGGGGAGCUGUAAGCAAGCUUUGAUCCGG
rnacentral:rRNA from 1 species